GGAGGGAGCUCAGUGGUAGAGUGCCUGCUUAGCAUGCAUGAGGUCCUGGGUUCAAUCCCCAGUACCUCCA
rnacentral:tRNA from 1 species